GACGAACGCUGGCGGCGUGCCUAAUACAUGCAAGUAGAACGCUGAAGAGAGGAGCUUGCUCUUCUUGGAUGAGUUGCGAACGGGUGAGUAACGCGUAGGUAACCUGCCUUGUAGCGGGGGAUAACUAUUGGAAACGAUAGCUAAUACCGCAUAACAAUGGAUGACACAUGUCGUUUAUUUGAAAGGGGCAAUUGCUCCACUACAAGAUGGACCUGCGUUGUAUUAGCUAGUAGGUGAGGUAAUGGCUCACCUAGGCGACGAUACAUAGCCGACCUGAGAGGGUGAUCGGCCACACUGGGACUGAGACACGGCCCAGACUCCUACGGGAGGCAGCAGUAGGGAAUCUUCGGCAAUGGGGGCAACCCUGACCGAGCAACGCCGCGUGAGUGAAGAAGGUUGUCGGAUCGUAAAGCUCUGUUGUAAGUCAAGAACGGGUGUGAGAGUGGAAAGUUCACACUGUGACGGUAGCUUACCAGAAAGGGACGGCUAACUACGUG
rnacentral:rRNA from 1 species